rnacentral:rRNA from 1 species
UACAGAGGUCCCGAGCGUUGUUCGGAUUCAUUGGGCGUAAAGGGUGCGUAGGCGGCUUCCUAAGUUUGAUGUGAAAUCCCGGGCUCAACCCUGGAAUUGCAUUGAAUACUGGGAGGCUAGAGUACUGGAGAGGAAACUGGAAUUUACGGUGUAGCAGUGAAAUGCGUAGAGAUCGUAAGGAAGACCAGUGGCGAAGGCGAGUUUCUGGACAGUAACUGACGCUGAG